GGAUCCAGACUUUGAUCAUGGCUCAGGAUGAACGCUAGCUACAGGCUUAACACAUGCAAGUCGAGGGGCAGCGGGAUUGAAGCUUGCUUCAAUUGCCGGCGACCGGCGCACGGGUGAGUAACGCGUAUCCAACCUUCCGUACACUCAGGGAUAGCCUUUCGAAAGAAAGAUUAAUACCUGAUGGUAUGAUGAGAUUGCAUGAUAGCAUCAUUAAAGAUUUAUCGGUGUACGAUGGGGAUGCGUUCCAUUAGGUAGUAGGCGGGGUAACGGCCCACCUAGCCAACGAUGGAUAGGGGUUCUGAGAGGAAGGUCCCCCACAUUGGAACUGAGACACGGUCCAAACUCCUACGGGAGGCAGCAGUGAGGAAUAUUGGUCAAUGGACGAGAGUCUGAACCAGCCAAGUAGCGUGAAGGAUGAAGGUCCUACGGAUUGUAAACUUCUUUUAUAAGGGAAUAAACCCUCCCACGUGUGGGAGCUUGUAUGUACCUUAUGAAUAAGCAUCGGCUAACUCCGUGCCAGCAGCCGCGGUAAUACGGAGGAUGCGAGCGUUAUCCGGAUUUAUUGGGUUUAAAGGGAGCGCAGACGGGUCGUUAAGUCAGCUGUGAAAGUUUGGGGCUCAACCUUAAAAUUGCAGUUGAUACUGGCGUCCUUGAGUGCGGUUGAGGUGUGCGGAAUUCGUGGUGUAGCGGUGAAAUGCUUAGAUAUCACGAAGAACUCCGAUUGCGAAGGCAGCACACUAAUCCGUAACUGACGUUCAUGCUCGAAAGUGUGGGUAUCAAACAGGAUUAGAUACCCUGGUAGUCCACACGGUAAACGAUGGAUACUCGCUGUUGGCGAUAUACUGUCAGCGGCUUAGCGAAAGCGUUAAGUAUCCCACCUGGGGAGUACGCCGGCAACGGUGCAACUCAAAGGAAUUGACGG
rnacentral:rRNA from 1 species